AGUAAAUGCCGCCUCCUUCGCCCUCCUCUCUGCCUCAACCCUAGCAGCCAAAGCUGCUUUAGUCACAGUCCCAGCAGCGAUCUUGGCAGCCGCUAAUAAAACCUUAGCCGCCUUCAUAUCAAUAACCCUAGACUCCUCAUUACCCAAACCAACCUCUCUUCCCUUCUUAAGUGAAAAAAGAGGGGUAUUAGGGUUAACACAAAGGGGGCAAUGAUAAGGGUGAGGAGGGUUGACACCCACACAAGAAUUGUGAGAAUACGAAUAGCAUUUGGAACAAGAAACAAGGCCGUUUGAAGCCGCGUUAGGUGGAGGGGUAGGGUUAUAAACGAGCAAACAAGUGGGGCAAAACGAUUGAAUGUGGAGUCUGAGGACACAGUUGGUGCAAAGUCGACGGUAUAAUCCUCUGUGGCGGACGUUGUGGAGAAACCAUCUUUCCUCGACGUUACAGUUGCCGCAGGUGGUAGGGACGGGGAGAGGGGCGACGGUGGAGCUGUUGGGAAAGUUUUGUUUCGUCAUUUUUGAAAUCGGAACAUGAAACAGGGGAAAAGGAAGAGCAACUUCAUGUAUAAAGUGAGACAGAUUCUGAUAAUCCGGUUUUCUUUUUCUGCACAAGGAGAGUGAAAAAGGAAUCUCUGUGUUCUUGAAUUAGGGUUUUCUAUAUUGGGG
rnacentral:misc_RNA from 1 species